GAACUUUUAUAAGCUCAGGCUAGCGCCCUCUGGCAUUGAUUGGGGGUUGGAGGAAGACACAACCUGAAGGUGCAUUCCUGCCUCUUUCGACUUAGAGAGAGACCUUUUCACGGCUUACUUCUCACCCUGUUGAAUCCAGCUUUCAAACUCUGACCAGCUAAGCCGCUUACAAAAGAAAAUUGUUUCUCAAGAAGGAAUACCAGAGUUCAAGAUCAGUUUUACUGCAUCAUUAGCUACUACUGUCAAUGCUUGGAAAAAGUGGAGAGAAGCCCAGCGCAAGCAGAGAGGGAUCUAUAUACACUCCUGGUGAUCGUGUGAUGAAAUAAAGAAAUUUUGGAAUAUAAUCUUCA
rnacentral:lncRNA from 1 species